rnacentral:rRNA from 1 species
GCGAAGGAGCAAUCCGAGUAGAGCGGCGCACGGGUGCGUAACACGUGGAUAAUCUGCCCUUGAAUUCGGGAUAACCUUCCGAAAGGUUGGCUAAUACCGGGUAAGCUCACGGUGACUUCGGUCGCUGUGGGAAAAGUAGACCUCUGUUUACAAGUUUACGUUUGAGGAUGAGUCCGCGGCCCAUCAGCUAGUUGGCGGGGUAAUGGCCCACCAAGGCUACGACGGGUAGCUGGUCUGAGAGGACGAUCAGCCACACUGGAACUGAGACACGGUCCAGACUCCUACGGGAGGCAGCAGUGGGGAAUUUUCCACAAUGGGCGAAAGCCUGAUGGAGCAACGCCGCGUGUGUGAUGAAGGUCUUCGGAUCGUAAAGCACUUUCGACCGGGACGAAAAACCUCUGGCUAACAUCCAGGGGCCUGACGGUACCGGGAGAAGAAGCACCGGCUAACUCUGUGCCAGCAGCCGCGGUAAUACAGAGGGUGCAAGCGUUGUUCGGAAUUAUUGGGCGUAAAGCGCGUGUAGGCGGCUUGGCAAGUCAGAUGUGAAAGCCCAUGGCUUAACCAUGGAAGUGCGUCUGAAACUGCUGAGCUUGAGUGCCGGAGAGGAUGGCGGAAUUCCGCAAGUAGAGGUGAAAUUCGUAGAUAUGCGGAGGAACACCGGUGGCGAAGGCGGCCAUCUGGACGGCAACUGACGCUGAGACGCGAAAGCGUGGGGAGCAAACAGGAUUAGAUACCCUGGUAGUCCACGCUGUAAACGAUGAGAACUAGGUGUCGUGGGUGUUGACCCCCGCGGUGCCGUAGCUAACGCAUUAAGUUCUCCGCCUGGGAAGUACGGUCGCA